rnacentral:rRNA from 1 species
UGGGGAAUAUUGGACAAUGGGCGCAAGCCUGAUCCAGCCGUACCGCGUGGGUGAAGGCCUUCGGGUUGUAAAGCCCUUUUGUUGGGAAAGAAAAGCAGCCGGUUAAUACCCGGUUGUUCUGACGGUACCCAAAGAAUAAGCACCGGCUAACUUCGUGCCAGCAGCCGCGGUAAUACGAAGGGUGCAAGCGUUACUCGGAAUUACUGGGCGUAAAGCGUGCGUAGGUGGUUGUUUAAGUCUGUUGUGAAAGCCCUGGGCUCAACCUGGGAAUUGCAGUGGAUACUGGGCGACUAGAGUGUGGUAGAGGGUAGUGGAAUUCCUGGUGUAGCAGUGAAAUGCGUAGAGAUCAGGAGGAACAUCCAUGGCGAAGGCAGCUACCUGGACCAACACUGACACUGAGGCACGAAAGCGUGGGGAGCAAACAGG